GGAUGCGAUCAUACCAGCACUAAAGCACCGGAUCCCAUCAGAACGCCGAAGUUAAGCGUGCUUGGGCGAGAGUAGUACGCCGAAGUUAAGCGUGCUUGGG
rnacentral:rRNA from 3 species